GACAAUAUGUCAGAUGGUAUGAGUCAGAUUUAAGUUUUGGUUAUAUGGUUGUUUUCU
rnacentral:tRNA from 1 species